UUGGAGGGCAAGUCUGGUGCCAGCAGCCGCGGUAAUUCCAGCUCCAAUAGCGUAUAUUAAAGUUGUUGCAGUUAAAAAGCUCGUAGUUGAAUUUCGGGAUUGGCGCAUCGGUCGUGCCUCACGGGGUAUGAACUGGUGCAGUCAAUUUCUCACCUUCUGGAGAACCGCGAUGUCCUUAACUGGAUGCCGCGGGGAACCAGGACCUUUACUUUGAAAAAAUUAGAGUGUUUAAAGCAGGCAUUUUUGCUUGAAUACAUUAGCAUGGAAUAAUAAAAUAGGACGGCAUGGUUCUAUUGUGUUGGUUUCUAGGACCACCGUAAUGAUUAAUAGGGAUAGUUGGGGGCAUUAGUAUUCAAUUGUCAGAGGUGAAAUUCUUGGAUUUAUUGAAGACUAACUACUGCGAGAGCAUUUGCCAAGGAUGUUUUCAUUAAUCAAGAACGAAAGUUAGGGGAUCGAAGACGAUCAGAUACCGUCGUAGUCUUAACCAUAAACUAUGCCGACUAGGGAUCGGACGGUGGUUAUUUUAUGCCCCGUUCGGCACCUUACGGGAAACCAAAGUGUUUGGGUUC
rnacentral:rRNA from 1 species